UACCGAGUGGGAUCCAGAGUACCACAGGAUAGGCAACCCGGUGGGAAGACGGGAGGACCAUCUCCCAAGGCUAAAUACUCCUAAGUGACCGAUAGCGCAUAGUACCGUGAGGGAAAGGUGAAAAGAACCCCGGGAGGGGAGUGAAAGAGAACCUGAAACCAUAUGUCCACAAGCAGUGGAAGCGAAAGCGACCACGUACUUUUUGUAGAACGGACCGGCGAGUUAUAGAUAUGCAGCGAGGUUAAGCGAAAGCGGAGCCGAAGCGAAAGCGAGUCUUAAAAGGGCGAGAGUUGCAUAUCAUAGACCCGAAACCGUGCGACCUACCCAUGAUCAGGGUGAAGCCGGAGUAAGAUCUGGUGGAGGCCCGAACCACGUUGACGUUGAAAAGUCAUGGGAUGAAUUGUGGGUAGCGGAGAAAUUCCAAUCGAGCUCGGAGAUAGCUGGUUCUCCCCGAAAUAGCUUUAGGGCUAGCCUCAGGGGGAAGGAAAUAUGGAGGUAGAGCACUGAAUGGACUAGGGGCCAAAGAGGUUACCGAACCCUAUCAAACUCCGAAUGCCAUAUUGAGACCCUGGGAGUCAGACUACGAGUGAUAAGAUCCGUGGUCAAAAGGGAAAGAGCCCAGACCGACAGCUAAGGUCCCAAAGAGCAUGUUAAGUGGGAAAGGAAGUAGGAUUUCCAAGACAACCAGGAUGUUGGCUUAGAAGCAGCCAUACAUUCAAAGAGUGCGUAAUAGCUCACUGGUCGAGAAAUCCCGCGCCGAAAAUAAACGGGGCUAAAACAUGCCACCGAAGCUACGGAUUCUGAAAAGAAUGGUAGGGGAGCGUACUGUACAGGACGAAGGAUAAGCGAAAGCGAAUCUGGACAGUACAGUAGAGAGAAUGCCGGUAUAAGUAACGAGAGUAAGGCGAGAAACCUUACCGUCGAAAGCCUAAGGAUUCCUGGGGAAGGAUAAUCCGCCCAGGGUAAGUCGGGACCUAAGCCGAGGCGAAAGCGUAGGCGAUGGAGAACCGGUAAUAAAUCCGGUACCACCGAAAUCCGCUAAAAGAGAAGCAAGGACGCAGCGAGAUAAGAAAAGCGUGCGGUUGGUAGAGCACGUCCAAGCAGCGACGAAAAGAGCUUUGAGUGAAGUACCAAAGCUCAUAAGAGCUGUGAUGGGGAGCCGAAAGGCGAAGUUUCGAAGGGGCUGCCAAGAAAAGUUGCUAUCGAGGAUGAGGUGCCCGUACCACAAACCGACACAGGUAGGCGAGGAGAGAAUCCAAAGACGAGCGGGAGAACCCUCAUUAAGGAACUCGGCAAAAAGACUCCGUAACUUCGGGAGAAGGAGUGCCGAAAGGCCGCAGAGAAGAGGCCCAAGCGACUGUUUACCAAAAACACAGGUUUCUGCUAAGUCGAAAGACGAAGUAUAGGAGCUGACGCCUGCCCGGUGCUGGAAGGUUAAGGGGAAGGGUCAGGAGAAAAUCCAAAGCUCUGAACUUAAGCCCCAGUAAACGGCGGCCGUAACUAUAACGGUCCUAAGGUAGCGAAAUUCCUUGUCGGGUAAGUUCCGACCUGCACGAAAGGCGUAACGACUUGGGCGCUGUCUUGAAGGGGGACCCGGUGAAAUUGUAGUACUCGUGAAGAUGCGAGUUACCCGCGACAGGACAGAAAGACCCCAUGGAGCUUUACUGCAGCUUGUCACUGAAUUUUAGUAAUAUCUGUACAGGAUAGGUGGGAGGCUAAGAAAUAUGGGCGCCAGCCUAUAUGGAGCCAACGUUGGGAUACCACCCUGAUAUUACCGAAAUUCUAACAUAGGAGCCGUAAACCGGCAUAUGGACACUGACAGGCGGGCAGUUUGACUGGGGCGGUCGCCUCCUAAAAAGUAACGGAGGCGUCCAAAGGUUACCUCAGCGCGGAAGGAAAUCGCGCGAAAGAGUGCAAAGGCAGAAGGUAGCCUAACUGCGAGAAAGACAAUUCGAGCAGGGACGAAAGUCGGGCUUAGUGAUCCGGCGGUAGAGAAUGGGAUUGCCGUCGCUCAACGGAUAAAAGCUACCCUGGGGAUAACAGGCUGAUCUCCCCCAAGAGUCCACAUCGACGGGGAGGUUUGGCACCUCGAUGUCGGCUCAUCGCAUCCUGGGGCUGAAGUAGGUCCCAAGGGUUGGGCUGUUCGCCCAUUAAAGCGGUACGCGAGCUGGGUUCAGAACGUCGUGAGACAGUUCGGUCCCUAUCCGUCGCGGGCGCAGGAAAUUUGAGAGGAUCUGCCCUUAGUACGAGAGGACCGGGGUGGACAAACCGAUGGUGUACCAGUUGC
rnacentral:rRNA from 1 species